rnacentral:rRNA from 1 species
GAUGAACGCUGGCGGUAUGCUUUACACAUGCAAGUCGUACGAGAGUUUUUAACUCUAGUGGCGGACGGGUGAGUAACACGUAAGAAUUUGCCUUUAGGAGGGGGAUAACAACUGGAAACGGUUGCUAAUACCCCAUAUGCUUUCGAGUGAAAUGGAUUUCCGCCUAAAGAGAAGCUUGCGGCUGAUUAGCUUGUUGGUGAGGUAAUGGCUCACCAAGGCGACGAUCAGUAUCUGGUUUGAGAGGACGAUCAGACACACUGGAACUGAGACACGGUCCAGACUCCUACGGGAGGCAGCAGUGGGGAAUUUUCCGCAAUGGGCGAAAGCCUGACGGAGCAAUACCGCGUGAGGGAUGAAGGCCUAUGGGUUGUAAACCUCUUUUUUCAGGGAGGAACAAAAUGACGUGUACCUGAAGAAUAAGCAUCGGCUAACUCCGUGCCAGCAGCCGCGGUAAGACGGGGGAUGCAAGUGUUAUCCGGAAUCACUGGGCGUAAAGCGUCUGUAGGUGGUUAAGUAAGUCAACUGUUAAAUCUUGAGGCUUAACCUCAAAAUCGCAGUCGAAACUGCUUGAC